rnacentral:rRNA from 1 species
UNUUCGGAGCUAGCGGCGGACGGGUUAGUAACGCGUGGGAACGUGCCCUUCACUGCGGAAUAGCCACUGGAAACGGUGAGUAAUACCGCAUACGCCCUUCGGGGGAAAGAUUUAUCGGUGAAGGAUCGGCCCGCGUUAGAUUAGAUAGUUGGUGGGGUAACGGCCUACCAAGUCUACGAUCUAUAGCUGGUUUUAGAGGAUGAUCAGCAACACUGGGACUGAGACACGGCCCAGACUCCUACGGGAGGCAGCAGUGGGGAAUCUUGGACAAUGGGCGCAAGCCUGAUCCAGCCAUGCCGCGUGAGUGAUGAAGGCCUUAGGGUCGUAAAGCUCUUUCGCCAGAGAUGAUAAUGACAGUAUCUGGUAAAGAAACCCCGGCUAACUCCGUGCCAGCAGCCGCGGUAAUACGGAGGGGGUUAGCGUUGUUCGGAAUUACUGGGCGUAAAGCGCACGUAGGCGGAUCAGAAAGUUGGGGGUGAAAUCCCGGGGCUCAACCCCGGAACUGCCUCCAAAACUCCUGGUCUUGAGUUCGAGAGAGGUGAGUGGAAUUCCGAGUGUAGAGGUGAAAUUCGUAGAUAUUCGGAGGAACACCAGUGGCGAAGGCGGCUCACUGGCUCGAUACUGACGCUGAGGUGCGAAAGUGUGGGGAGCAAACAGGAUUAGAUACCCUGGUAGUCCACACCGUAAACGAUGAAUGCCAGUCGUCGGGUAGCAUGCUAUUCGGUGACACACCUAACGGAUUAAGCAUUCCGCCUGGGGAGUACGGUCGCAAG